rnacentral:RNase_P_RNA from 1 species
CAGCCGGAUAAUCGCGCGGGGUAAAUUAAUACCUUGUGAGGAAAGUCCGUGCAUCCAAGGACAGCUCGCCGGAGAAACUCCGGACGGCGUGAGCCGGUGGAUCGGACCACAGAAAGGGGUAAACAAUUCAGAAUAUUGCUGAGUUUGUAACCCAAAAGACUGCCGAUGGAUUAUAUGGUGGGCACCCCACCCUAACCCUCCCCAUAAGGGGAGGGAAUUCUCGCCCCUUACGGUGAGAGUCAGAGAGGGGUUAACUAUUAAUCACAGGCGAUGGUGCAAAGGUGAGGUAAGAGCUCACCGGGUAUACUGAGAAGUAUAUGCCAGGCAACCCCCGAGCGGAUGCAAGAUUGAAUCAGGCGUUUGAGGUGUCCGCCAAGCCUGAAAAAUCGCUAGAGAUCAGGAGUAAUCCUGAUACCAGACAGAUGAUUAUCGGGGUAAAUAAUUAUCCCCUGUUAACAGAGCAAACAACCGGUUUGAAGUUAGCAGAAAAACAGAACACGGCUUAUGAGCUGCUUU